rnacentral:lncRNA from 1 species
AAUGGUUUCCCUUUGUUAAGACCAUAUACAACCUCAUUCACUAAUUCCUCCAGCCUCCUGUCAAGAGCUCUGCUGACCUAGCCAGGGACAGGCCUCUCAGGGAGAGCAGCUGCUGAUUGCACUUGAAAGCCUCCUCAUUAGGAUCCUUUGUCUUCUGUAAGAAACACUGGAGUCUUCCCUUGAGAGUCAUCUCUUCCAUUCUCAUUGGUCCACACAAAUUGGGUAACAAUAACAUAACCAUCCAGAGAGGAGAACAGGACCCAGAGAGUCCUAAGAAUGCUCUACUCAGCAAUGAGAGAUGCAAUUCUAAGGGAAUUAAAAACCAAACCAACCUCAGCUAGAGAACGGGAAUAGAGACAAUGUUCGACCCAGGAGCAGGGAGACAACAGUGGAAAAAGCAGAGCUGAGAUGGGAGUGAACUCUGAAGAUGUCUGCGUCCUGGGCUCAGCUACCCCGGAGCAUGGGGAGGCCUGGGGAACUUCUCAGGUUGAAUUUGCAAGUCUGAGUCAGUCUGAUCUCUCAUUUGCUGCUGCAUUCUUUCCUACUUCAAAACCUGACCGUUCAAACUACUGUCCAUACUCCUGUCAAGGUACUUCUGGGUUCAAGACCCCGAAUCCCCUAUUCUACUAUCCAUAAAAAAGGUGGCUCAACUUAUCAGGCCUAGUUUCCCUUUGUAGUUAGGUUUUGUUUAU